AAACAAAAUGAAUUUUCUAUGAAUAUUCAAUUACUCCCCAAAAGAGGCGUGUUUUGAGAAACAGCUGUAUUUACAAAGUGCAACCUAUACAGACAUUUAUUCAAAUAGAAAACUCUCUAAAAUCAGUUUUUCUCACAUUAAUACUCAUUUAUCAGAAUUAAAGUCUUAAAGAAAUCACUGUGUAUACUCUAAGUUUUUCUUUACUAUACAUUUUAUACCCCCUCCCCUGUUUCAAUUUUUUAAAGAAUUUGAAAACAAAACUUUAAUUAUUGCCAGCUUUCCCUAUUUGCAUAUUUUCUGAUAAAAAAUGCCUAGAACCUGUUAGAAACUGUUUUGAUAACAUAUUGAAAGCAUAUCAGAAUAUCAUAAAUGUAAUGUUUAGCAGUCAAUCAUUACAACAUUCAAGAUUAUAUAAAGUAUCCAAUCCAGCCUCUAUCUCCAGUCCACAUCUUACUGUAUGCCUAUUUGUCAAUUAAAGAACACAUUUCUGCCUCAAAAUGGUCAAUUUAGAAUUCUUGUCACAACAGUAUCAUCUUUAACCAUAUAUCUGACACAAUUUAGCUACUAUAUAUACUAGAAGUGUUCAAACAAAGCCAUAUUUGCAAUAGUUGUAUGUAUGCAGAUACCAGUCUGAGAUAUAAAUUCACUUAAAAUGUUGUAGAGAUGACUGCUAACAUUUGAUUUUUGCAUAACUUCCAAGCAUAAUUAUUGUUUUCUAUAUCAAGAACUUUAAAAUCAUAAAAUCAUAGCAUUUACAAGUUAAAUUAUUUGUUUUAUGACCCAGGGGU
rnacentral:lncRNA from 1 species